rnacentral:rRNA from 1 species
AUUGAACGCUGGCGGCAGGCCUAACACAUGCAAGUCGAGCGGAUGAAGGGAGCUUGCUCCUGGAUUCAGCGGCGGACGGGUGAGUAAUGACUAGGAAUCUGCCUGGUAGUGGGGGAUAACGUCCGGAAACGGGCGCUAAUACCGCAUACGUCCUGAGGGAGAAAGUGGGGGAUCUUCGGACCUCACGCUAUCAGAUGAGCCUAGGUCGGAUUAGCUAGUUGGUGGGGUAAAGGCCUACCAAGGCGACGAUCCGUAACUGGUCUGAGAGGAUGAUCAGUCACACUGGAACUGAGACACGGUCCAGACUCCUACGGGAGGCAGCAGUGGGGAAUAUUGGACAAUGGGCGAAAGCCUGAUCCAGCCAUGCCGCGUGUGUGAAGAAGGUCUUCGGAUUGUAAAGCACUUUAAGUUGGGAGGAAGGGCAGUAAGUUAAUACCUUGCUGUUUUGACGUUACCAACAGAAUAAGCACCGGCUAACUUCGU